GCCUGGGUGGCUCAGUCUGUUAAGCAUCUGACUUCGGCUCAGGUCAUGAUCUCGUGGUCUGUGAGUUCGAGCCCCACAUCAGGCU
rnacentral:tRNA from 1 species